GACGAACGCUGGCGGCGUGCCUAAUACAUGCAAGUAGAACGCUGAAGGAGGAGCUUGCUUCUCUGGAUGAGUUGCGAACGGGUGAGUAACGCGUAGGUAACCUGCCUGGUAGCGGGGGAUAACUAUUGGAAACGAUAGCUAAUACCGCAUAAUAGCAGUUGUUGCAUGACAACUGUUUGAAAGGUGCAAUUGCACCACUACCAGAUGGACCUGCGUUGUAUUAGCUAGUUGGUGGGGUAACGGCUCACCAAGGCGACGAUACAUAGCCGACCUGAGAGGGUGAUCGGCCACACUGGGUCUGAGACACGGCCCAGACUCCUACGGGAGGCAGCAGUAGGGAAUCUUCGGCAAUGGACGGAAGUCUGACCGAGCAACGCCGCGUGAGUGAAGAAGGGUUUCGGAUCGUAAAGCUCUGUUGUAAGAGAAGAACGAGUGUGAGAGUGGAAAGUUCACACUGUGACGGUAUCUUACCAGAAAGGGACGGCUAACUACGUG
rnacentral:rRNA from 1 species